rnacentral:rRNA from 1 species
GACGAACGCUGGCGGCGUGCCUAAUACAUGCAAGUUGAGCGCUGAAGGUUGGUCCUUGUACCAACUGGAUGAGCAGCGAACGGGUGAGUAACGCGUGGGGAAUCUGCCUUUGAGCGGGGGACAACAUUUGGAAACGAAUGCUAAUACCGCAUAAAAACUUUAAACACAAGUUUUAAGUUUGAAAGAUGCAAUUGCAUCACUCAAAGAUGAUCCCGCGUUGUAUUAGCUAGUUGGUGAGGUAAAGGCUCACCAAGGCGAUGAUACAUAGCCGACCUGAGAGGGUGAUCGGCCACAUUGGGACUGAGACACGGCCCAAACUCCUACGGGAGGCAGCAGUAGGGAAUCUUCGGCAAUGGACGAAAGUCUGACCGAGCAACGCCGCGUGAGUGAAGAAGGUUGUCGGAUCGUAAAACUCUGUUGGUAGAGAAGAACGUUGGUGAGAGUGGAAAGCUCAUCAAGUGACGGUAACUACCCAGAAAGGAACGGCUAACUACGUG